rnacentral:rRNA from 1 species
CACGUAGGGCGCAAGCGUUGUCCGGAAUUAUUGGGCGUAAAGAGCUCGUAGGCGGUCUGUUACGUCUGCUGUGAAAACCCUGGGCUUAACCCUGGGCUUGCAGUGGAUACGGGCAGACUAGAGGCAGGUAGGGGAGAAUGGAAUUCCCGGUGUAGCGGUGAAAUGCGCAGAUAUCGGGAGGAACACCGGUGGCGAAGGCGGUUCUCUGGCC